rnacentral:rRNA from 1 species
GAUGAACGCUGGCGGCGUGCCUAAUACAUGCAAGUCGAGCGAAAAGACGAGGAGUUGGCUCCCCUGACGUUAGCGGCGGACGGGGGAGUACAACUUGGAAAACCUCCCUUUAAGACUGGGAUAACUUCGGGAAACCGGAGCUAAACCCGGAUAAAAUGUUGAACCGCAUGGUUAAACAGUGAAAGACGUUCUUGCUGUCACUUAUAGAUGGAUCCGCGCCGCAUUAGCUAGUUGGUAAGGUAACGGCUUACCAAGGCAACGAUGCGUAGCCGACCUGAGAGGGUGAUCGGCCACACUGGAACUGAGACACGGUCCAGACUCCUACGGGAGGCAGCAGUAGGGAAUCUUCCGCAAUGGGCGAAAGCCUGACGGAGCAACGCCGCGUGAGUGAAGAAGGUCUUCGGAUCGUAAAACUCUGUUAUUAGGGAAGAACAAAUGUGUAAGUAACUAUGCACGUCUUGACGGUACCUAAUCAGAAAGCCACGGCUAACUACGUG